UCAGUCACGCACAGAAGACCAUUAGACUCAAACCCUGUCCUGGUCUGGAUCGGUUCUGCAGGUUUGAUCAGUCUGAUCCCUGUUACACAGCUCUGGGACACAAACUCAAUCUGUCGAUUGUGCUGGAUGCUAGUAAAUAUGACCUGAAGAUAAUAAAGAGAAUAAACAAUGCAGCAGAUGAUCCAGUUUGUAGAGUAAAGAAUGACAGGAUGAGGAUGAGUGAAUGUGAUCUUUAUUAUAACAGACAUGAAGUUAUAGUAAUUAAUGGGACUGUGAUAAUAAACCGUGUGAUCAGAGCAGAUUCAGGGAAUUACACAUUAACUCUCGUUCACUCAGACGGCUCAGAAACAUCUAGAGAUCUUCAAGUGAUUGUUGAAGCUCCCGUUGGCUUAGUGGAAGUGUCAAUCAUCUGCUCCUCCAGUGGGGUGAUGAGGGUGUUCUGCUCCUCUGAGGGGGAUCAGCUCCUCUACAGCUGGACUCUGAAUGGAGAUCCACUGAUGGAUGGAAACAGCAGCAUUGAUCUGGAU